rnacentral:lncRNA from 1 species
AAGUGUGAAUAAUGUUUUACAAAACGAGUAUGAAGGUAGACGGUUGGGUGUUUUGCUUGGUGUGAGUAUGUCAUUGUGCGUAGCGGGUUCACUUCUUUCAUUGU